rnacentral:rRNA from 1 species
GGUUUGUUGUAAAAAAUAAUAAAUCUUACCUGCUCAAUGUAAAAUAUAAAUAGCCGCGGUAAUUUGACUGUGCAAAGGUAGCAUAAUCAUUAGUCUUUUGAUUGGGGGCUGGAAUGAAGGGUUUGACGGGGGGCAGCUUUAUAAGGAUAAUGUUUGUGAAUUUUAGUUUAUUGUGAAGAUGCAGUUUAAUGUGUUUAUUUGACGAGAAGACCCUAUAAAGCUUUAUAGUUGAGGUUGUUAAGGCAGGGCUGUUUUGUUGGGGCAACAUUUUUUUACAAUAAUAACAUAUUAAUAAAUAUGAGGUUUUUAGGUUGAUUUUAUGAUCCAUAAUUUUUGAAAAUUAGAAAAGUUACUUUAGGGAUAACAGCGUAAUUAUUUUGGAGAGUUCAUAUCGAUGAGGUAGUUUGCGACCUCGAUGUUGAAUUAGGAAACCUUGUCUUCGCAGCAGAGGGCCGAGGGGGUCUGUUCGACCCUUAAAUUCCUACA